UACAGAGGUCUCAAGCGUUGUUCGGAUUCAUUGGGGGUAAAGGGUGCGUAGGCGGCGCGGUAAGUCGGGUGUGAAAUCUUGGAGCUUAACUCCGAAACUGCAUUCGAUACUGCCGUGCUUGAGGACUGGAGAGGAGACUGGAAUUUACGGUGUAGCGGUGAAAUGCGUAGAUAUCGUAAGGAAGACCAGUGGCGAAGGCGGGUCUCUGGACAGUUCCUGACGCUGAGGCACGAAGGCCAGGGGAGCAAACGGG
rnacentral:rRNA from 1 species